GGGAGGUAGUGACAAUAAAUAACAAUACGGGGUUCUUCGAAUCUCGUAAUUGGAAUGAGUACAAUUUAAAUCUCUUAACGAGGAACAAUUGGAGGGCAAGUCUGGUGCCAGCAGCCGCGGUAAUUCCAGCUCCAAUAGCGUAUAUUAAAGUUGUUGCAGUUAAAAAGCUCGUAGUUGAAUUUCGGGGUCAGCAGGUUGGUCGUGCCACUGGUAUGCACUGGCUUCGCUGAUUCCUCCUUUCUGAAGAACUGUAAUGCCAUUAAUUUGGUGUUGCAGGGAAACAGGACUGUUACUUUGAAAAAUUAGAGUGUUUAAAGCAGGCUAAUGCUUGAAUACAUUAGCAUGGAAUAAUGAAAUAGGACGUUUGAUCCUAUUUUGUUGGUUUCUAGGGUUGACGUAAUGAUUAAUAGGGAUAGUUGGG
rnacentral:rRNA from 1 species